GUAGCUACAGGUUAUUGAGUUCCUCUUGACCCUGGUGUGCAAUUGUGGAUUUUGUGGUUCAGCUGUCUUGAGUUGUGCCAUAAGUUCCGGUGCUCAGUGCAGUCUUGACAGAAACACCAGGAAAAUACCAGAUAUUACACAUAAUGAAACGUCAAUGCAACAAAACAAAAGUGGACUUUAAAGGAUAUGCAGGUCAGUUUGACGAUGGAUCUGAGCUACCCUUUGGAAUCGAAAUCAAACGUUUUUUAUGAAAGUGUACUAUCGAAAGUGAUGAAACGAACAGAUACAGUCAUUUACUGUCCUUCGAACGAAACGGAUUCAGCAGCCGGCAUUCAAAAGGUGGAAAUCGUUGGAUCGUUGGCCGCCGUUGAAUCUGCUCGUCUAUUCAUACGGGAUUAUGUACCGAUUGAAUUUGUCACCAGCUGUAGAUCUGAUCGAGUCGAUUCUCUCGGGAUACACCUUCUUGUAGCUCAUUUUUCCUCUACGUUCGGGGUUAAGAUGGUUUUUAAACUUGUUGAAGAAGAUUCUAGUUACCAGGUGAAUAUCCGUGGUCAUCAAUAUCGAUUUGAGCUGCUAAGGGAAGCAGUACACCAUUUCUGCCACAUCGUUCAAACUCCCUCGGAAUCAGUGGAAAUGGAUUUAGGGUCGUCUUCUUUUACAUCGCAGACUCGUACGCAACUGCACUCAGCUAAUAGAGGAAAAAUCGGGAGCUCGUAUUUGCUGCCCAGUUGACGGCAAUUCAGUCUUAGUAAGAGGAUCACUAGAAUCCGCAUAUUUUGCCAGUGAAAUGAUAGCGGGCGUGACUCCAUUGCAUUUAAAGUUCCAGUGCCCAUCGUCUGUGGAGAUGAAUGAACGCAUUCGAUCGAUCGCCCGUCAAAUGGAUAUCUCCGUUUCCACUGACAAAACAGAUCCAGGCUUCGAUGAGCUUAAUUUAUCUACAUGUGAAUGGAAUACUCGUCACCUUUAUGAACUUUGGCGUCUACGUCGAGGUUUGCACUUAAGUUUUUCCAUUUUGCCAACACAGCGCCACCUGUGGUCGCAUUUAGUAGAAUUACCCCACAGCUUCUUCAGGAAAGUGAACUCCAAAAUUUUCGGGCCUCAACGUGAAGAGCUAGCCCUAGAAGGGCAUAGGACAUCUUGUGAUGAAACUUUAAACUUAAGACGCAUUUGAGGCAAGUUACACUGGGCCGAUGGACGAACAAUUUGGUUUCUACCUCAAGUUCAAGGCCCAGUUCACAAACCUGUGCUUCGUGCAUUUUUUUAAAUUUCCAAGCGUGCCUUUCAAUGUGUUCAGCAACGUCCGUACAGCUUUAAUACCCUAUGUUAAAACCAAUAUCCAUAUCGAGCUUCGAACGAGAAAGAAACAAAUUCCGUUCCUUUUUCAUUUUGUUCAAAAAUAUAACGGAAGGUUUGUUUCUCCAAAUAAAAUUUACUUACCAAGAAAGUUUUGAUAAAAUAAAAUGAUGAAAAUAAA